rnacentral:miRNA from 1 species
UGGCAGUGUAGUUAGCUGGUUG